rnacentral:rRNA from 1 species
AUUAGAUUAAAAACCAAUGCCCUUCGGGGCUCUCUGGUGAUUCAUGAUAACUUCUCGAAUCGCAUGGCCUUGCGCCGGCGAUGGUUCAUUCAAAUUUCUUCCCUAUCAACUUUCGAUGUUUGGGUAUUGGCCAAACAUGGUUGCAACGGGUAACGGAGGGUUAGGGCUCGACCCCGGAGAAGGAGCCUGAGAAACGGCUACUACAUCCAAGGAAGGCAGCAGGCGCGCAAAUUACCCAAUCCCGACUCGGGGAGGUAGUGACAAUAAAUACUGAUACAGGGUUCUUUCGGAUCUUGUAAUUGGAAUGAGUACAAUUUAAAUCCCUUAACGAGGAACAAUUGGAGGGCAAGUCUGGUGCCAGCAGCCGCGGUAAUUCCAGCUCCAAUAGCGUAUAUUAAGGUUGUUGUGGUUAAAAAGCUCGUAGUUGAACCUUGGGCCUGGCUGGCCGGUCCGCCUCACCGCGUGUACUGGUCCGGCCGGGCCUUUCCCUCUGUGGAACCCUAUGCCCUUCACUGGG